GAUGAACGCUGGCGGCGUGCCUAAUACAUGCAAGUCGAGCGAACGGACGAGAAGCUUGCUUCUCUGAUGUUAGCGGCGGACGGGUGAGUAACACGUGGAUAACCUACCUAUAAGACUGGGAUAACUUCGGGAAACCGGAGCUAAUACCGGAUAAUAUUUUGAACCGCAUGGUUCAAAAGUAAAAGACGGUCUUGCUGUCACUUAUAGAUGGAUCCGCGCUGCAUUAGCUAGUUGGUAAGGUAACGGCUUACCAAGGCAACGAUGCAUAGCCGACCUGAGAGGGUGAUCGGCCACACUGGAACUGAGACACGGUCCAGACUCCUACGGGAGGCAGCAGUAGGGAAUCUUCCGCAAUGGGCGAAAGCCUGACGGAGCAACGCCGCGUGAGUGAUAAAGGUCUUCGGAUCGUAAAACUCUGUUAUUAGGGAAGAACAUAUGUGUAAGUAACUGUGCACAUCUUGACGGUACCUAAUCAGAAAGCCACGGCUAACUACGUG
rnacentral:rRNA from 1 species